GCUUGAAUUAUCGACGGAAUAAAUGGUUUAAAUGAGAUGUGGUGAAAUUAGAAAAGCUUGAAAACAACAAUUAAACAUUCACUAAACAAGGCAUAUACAUGUACAUACAAUGGCUGAGAAUUUCAUAAUAAGAUAUAUUUGAAGAAGUAUAGGUUUUUAGUUUUUCGUCUAUCGAAAAUUCCUCUAUUAUUCCAUAUGCAAAC
rnacentral:lncRNA from 1 species